AUCACUAACUAUAACUAUAUAUUAUCCACACAACUACCUAUAACUAUUUUUUAUUACAUCUCACACUUUCCCUCAAAGACAAGCUGUAUAUAGUUUUUUUAUGAAAGAUUGACUUUGAUUUGGUAAUUCAUUUUGGUUGUUCUCUAUAUCAAAUUACAUAAUUCUCUGUAGUCUCAUCUUAAGAAAACCUUAAAGUCGUAGAAAAGCAAAAGAGGGGUAAAAAAACCCAAUGGUAUCAUUCAUGUUUGCAUUUACAAAUCUGACUUGGAAACGUGCAUCCUCCACCAGCGACAUCAGCUGCAAAAUGUCAAGAAGGAUAAUCUUCCGAUGAUCGAGUAUUUGAAGAAAAUAUACAUAUUGAAGGACAAGCUAGCUGCGUCCGGUGAGAAAUUAAAAGAUUUGUAAGUAAUUUUAAUUGCCCUAAGCAGUUUGGGGUCUGAAUUUCAACCAUUUGUCACUUCUAUCACCACUCGUUUUGAUCAUGGGAUGACAUUCCCAAAUCUCAAACAAUUGCUCAUGGACCAUGAACUAAGAUUCGCCUCGACGCCGAUAACCGUGGUAAUUGAAGCAAAUGCGGUGACCAAAUCAAGAUCUGAUUCGAUGAAGUUUUACCCAUGCCAAAUAUGUUUAAAAAAAGGACACAACGCUAUCAGUUGUUAUAAGCAAAUCAACUUCAUCCGAUUUCACCCCAACUCAUAGUCGCAUACUUACGUCGGUGGGAAUUCCGACGUCACAACAGUCCGCAAAUAUGGUGGAACCCAAAGGUGUGAUGUCCAUGUGGUAUCCCGAUACGGGGGAAACUACGCACAUAGAAGGUUCAAGUAAGUUGAUUCAAUCCUCCGAUCCACCCCCUAUCAAGGUAAAAUCUCGGUGCUUACGGCAAAUGGAGAUUCAAUGCCAAUAUUAAAAUCUGGAAAAUCUAGAGUAAAAUUAAAUCAAUUUGAAUUAUUAUUGGACAGGAUGUUGUUAGUACUUUCAACACGUACGUAUAUGUGCAGAUAACAAAGUAUAUUUUGAAUUUGAUGAGAAGAGGGUCAGAAUACGAGAGGCAGAAACUGAGAAGAUAAUAGCAUAGGGACAUGAGGCAGAAUGACUAUAUCAAUUACCGAUAAAAAUCAUCGAUAAAAAUCCAGAGGUGGUUACACGUACAAACACUAUAAGAAAAAGGCUUAGUAUUGGUCGCAAAAUAUAAUAAGAUGGUCGCUUAUAGAAAAAACGACUAACUUUUUGAUCACCACGUUAGUCGCAAGAAACUCCGU
rnacentral:lncRNA from 1 species